GGGGGCGAGGGGAAGGGGAGCUGGGAAGGGCGGAGGGGGCGAGCGAGACCCCGAGCGGAGAGAAAGGCCCGCGGAGACAGACCGAGACCGAGCGCGGCCGGCCGGGCGGGCCUGACGCACGGGGAAGGCCGAGGCCGCCGGGCGGGGCGGCCGCGAGGGACGGAGGCAGGAGACGGGCAGAGCGAGGGGAAGAAAGAAAGGGCGUCCGCCCGCCCGGGGAUCCCGAGGCGAAGCGCGGCGUCGGCGGGGAAACACUACUUGGAAUCCAUCUUGUCCUAACAAGAAGUGUCCAACCUUUAAUGAUUUGGAUUCUGAUCACCUUACCAUGUAUCCUGUUUGUUGGAUGUGCACCUCCCAAGAUUCUAAUCUGGACCCUGGGCUGA
rnacentral:lncRNA from 1 species